rnacentral:rRNA from 1 species
UACGGGGGGGGCAAGCGUUGUUCGGAAUUACUGGGCGUAAAGGGCUCGUAGGCGGCCAAUUAAGUCGGACGUGAAAUCCCUCGGCUUAACCGGGGAACUGCGUCUGAUACUGGAUGGCUUGAGAUUGGGAGAGGGAUGCGGAAUUCCAGGUGUAGCGGUGAAAUGCGUAGAUAUCUGGAGGAACACCGGUGGCGAAGGCGGCAUCCUGGACCGACACUGACGCUGAGGAGCGAAAGCCAGGGGAGCAAACGGG